UACAGAGGUCUCAAGCGUUGUUCGGAUUCAUUGGGCGUAAAGGGUGUGUAGGUGGCGCCGUAAGUCGGGUGUGAAAUUUCGGAGCUUAACUCCGAAACUGCAUUCGAUACUGCGGUGCUUGAGGACUGGAGAGGAGACUGGAAUUCAUGGUGUAGCAGUGAAUGCGUAGAGAUCAUGAGGAAGACCAGUGGCGAAGGCGGGUCUCUGGACAGUUCCUGACACUGAGACACGAAGGCCAGGGAGCAAACGGG
rnacentral:rRNA from 1 species